rnacentral:rRNA from 1 species
ACCGGCAGCUCAAGUGGUGGCCAUUUUUAUUGGGCCUAAAGCGUUCGUAGCCGGUUUGAUAAGUCUCUGGUGAAAUCCCGCAGCUUAACUGUGGGACUUGCUGGAGAUACUAUUAGACUUGAGGUCGGGAGAGGUUAGGGGUACUCCCAGGGUAGGGGUGGAAUCCUAGAAUCCUGGGGGGAACACCUGUGGCGAAGGCGGCUAACCGGAACGAACCUGACGGGUAGUGGCGAAAGCCAGGGGCGCGAACCG